UUGCUAUGAUGAUGCUUUAAAUGGUUGACAGUGUUCAUUGAACAUUGGAUGAAACAUCGACAGCCAUGUCGAUCCUGAGCGGUUACCUGAGCAA